CCCCGUGAACCUUUACUAUAGCUUGACACUGAACAUUGAGCCUUGAUGUGUAGGAUAGGUGGGAGGCUUUGAAGCGUGGACGCCAGUCUGCGUGGAGCCGACCUUGAAAUACCACCCUUUAAUGUUUGAUGUUCUAACGUGGACCCGUGAUCCGGGUUGCGGACAGUGUCUGGUGGGUAGUUUGACUGGGGCGGUCUCCUCCUAAAGAGUAACGGAGGAGCACGAAGGUUGGCUAAUCCUGGUCGGACAUCAGGAGGUUAGUGCAAUGGCAUAAGCCAGCUUGACUGCGAGCGUGACGGCGCGAGCAGGUGCGAAAGCAGGUCAUAGUGAUCCGGUGGUUCUGAAUGGAAGGGCCAUCGCUCAACGGAUAAAAGGUACUCCGGGGAUAACAGGCUGAUACCGCCCAAGAGUUCAUAUCGACGGCGGUGUUUGGCACCUCGAUGUCGGCUCAUCACAUCCUGGGGCUGAAGUAGGUCCCAAGGGUAUGGCUGUUCGCCAUUUAAAGUGGUACGCGAGCUGGGUUUAGAACGUCGUGAGACAGUUCGGUCCCUAUCUGCCGUGGGCGCUGGAGAACUGAGGGGGGCUGCUCCUAGUACGAGAGGACCGGAGUGGACGCAUCACUGGUGUUCGGGUUGUCAUGCCAAUGGCACUGCCCGGUAGCUAAAUGCGGAAGAGAUAAGUGCUGAAAGCAUCUAAGCACGAAACUUGCCCCGAG
rnacentral:rRNA from 1 species